UGCAGCUUAGUGGCAGAGUGCUUGCCUCUCAUGCAUGAGGCCUGGAGUUCAGUCCCCAGUAAUGCAG
rnacentral:tRNA from 1 species